UGAAUUUAAUCUCGUUAGAGAGUGGAGAUUUCACGAUCUUAGUCUUAAAUCAAAAAUGAAAGGCAGGAAGUGUGUACGAAGGGGAGUAUCGAAGUUGUUUAUUUUUAGUAUACUUACGCAUGCUAGAUGAUCGUAUGUGCACGAGUUUACGAUAUUUUCCCCUCGUGAGCUGUCGCUAGUUUUUGCUCGAAACAGCUGACCGUGUUUAGUUUGUGUUAGAAGUCAUUUUGCUUACUUUGUAGUUCAGUUCUGCAAGGUGAACUAUUGAGACGUAAAAGAUUUGCAUUCUCUCCAUAUUAGUCGUAGCGAGUUUUGCGAAACAAUAGAUUCGAUUUUCAUUUAUAUUGCAUACUUCAAGGGUUUUGAAUUUAUUCGAAAAAUAAAGCAUUAGUUCUCAUCCUCCCUUUCAAUUUACGAGGCGCUUCUGAAGCUUAUUUUGCGUGUUUGCUGUCAUGAUUUUUAUGGCGUAUCUUUCGCUUCACUCACGUUUGCCGGCCUGGGUUAGCUCAUAGUUCAUGUUUCUUGGCACGUGGUAACUUGUUAUUCCAGUUUCUAACCAGUUUUAUUUACACCUCCAUUCAUUUCUUCGAUCGAUAAGUAUUUCUUUCAAAUUCUGAGUUUGGCUUUUUGAAGGUUUUUCUUUUUUGUUAGUACUUUUGGUUCGACUGAUUAAAUCUUGUUUACUGUUGCAUUUACUCGUCAAAGCUGAUUGUCGUGUUGAUCCGGUUGAAAGGAAUGAUUCCCAGAACUCGUUACCCUUGUCAUGCUAUUAUAUUCGCUUAUGGCUUUGUUGUUGACGUUAAUUGUAAAUUAUUUCAUGAAAAAGGCUUUUAUUUAUCCUAAUGAAUCGUCGAGAUUUUUAUGUCAAGGGAGUGAAAUCGUGACAGUGCAAGUUUUUUUUACUGUUGUUGUUUUUAAUUCCAUCAACAAUAACUGACAACGAGAUCUCGACGGGUUUUUUUGGAAUGUUUCUUUUGAGAGUUCAAAGUUCGUUUGGUUUUGUGCAUUGUUUAGGUGUUUGUGUUGUUAUUUUCUAAGUGAAGGCCAACCAUUUAAUACAAUUUCUAAAUUAUUGUCCCAUAAAUUUUCAUCAAAAUUUCACGCUCACUUCAGUUCUUGGUCUUCAGAUUUUAACAAUUAACAUUAAAAGUUUGUUUACAACGUCUAGCUAUUUUGAUUUUUCUUCUUAAUGUGACAGUAGUUUUGUCUUCUUUUUUGUUGUGAACAAAUUCCACAUUUUGGAAUACAGUAACUACGUUUUUAAAACUUCUUGAAGGGUUAUACCCUCAGUAUUUGCGUAGGGUAAGAUUUGGAACUUUUUGGCCUUGUCUCAGCAUGUUUGUGCUGACUAUACAAUAGUUUUCAAUGAACCUCUUCCCUUGCUUCCUGCCUUUUAUUGCAAUUAGAUAUAAAUUGUAUUAUUGGAAAAUGCCAAAGUGAUGUCUUUUCUACUCUGACAACAACACUGUUUUUGACAUGUUGUUAAAAUUUUUAAAAUUUACACUGUCAUAAUUUGGGAGAUGUUAGUUUGCCCGGCAAAUUGUUCUUGUUUCAUGCAGUAGAAGAGUAUCAGUUUGGUACAAUAGUAAAAGUUAUUUUUACCUAGUGCUAUUCACAGCAUGGCUCAUGUGACAUGGCCAUUUGGAAAAAAAUGAAAAAUAUAUGUAUUUGCUUCUGCGAUAUUUCAAAGGAAGGUUGUUGUGGCUUAUUUGACUUUUGUUUUCUUUGUGCCAUUCUGUGAAUAAGAUCUGAAUUAAAAGGGAUUAAUGGAGCAAGUUGGGGCUGUUUGUGUGCAUAUUUGUGGUUAAUUGACUUAAUAGUGCUAAACCAUGAGUGUAAUGGAAUUAGUGUUGAUGCUUAAAUGUUUUAGUAAGCCAUGUGUAUAAGUCUGUUUGUCAUUGUACUGUAUUUUUAACAUGUGUUUAUUGACCGCUGGGGGUAUUGGAAGGGUUGGAAUGAGUAAAUAGUACACAUUUCAAUAUCCCACCAUUUAAUUUCUGACUUUGUGAUGCAACCCGACAUGUAUACUUAAAUGUGUCCCACAAACAAGUAUCAUUGCACAAAGUAGCAUUGACAUGGACUUCAUAAAUGACAAACUGGGCAAAUUCAAUUAGGAUGAUCUGUUUUGUUUUGUGUCCCCAUUGUUUUGAAUUUCAAGGUUGCAGUCUGGCAGGUCAUGCGCUAAUUGGGAUAUUGACUUGUAUAAUUUAUCCAUGCUCAGUGGUAUACUUUAAUCUGGGAAUAUAAUCCUUUUGAUUGUUGCUGUUUUGAUUGUAGCUAAUGUUCCUCCUCAGUGCAAGGCUGACUGGUACAGUACACAGUUUGUUAGCUUUGAUUUAUGUUCCUUCACUGCAUUUAGCAUGGUUUACUCUAGUCCAAAAGUAUGAAAAUAAAUUUCUAGUUAUUAAUAUUUGGGCUGGGGUCACACUUACCCUGGCAUCAUUCCAAGCUGUGGCUCACAAACAUUCUUCUUGCUGUUGACUGUAUAACAUAAACAUAUAAGCCAUCUUAAACAGGUACAAGUUCAAUUGCUGUGGUUUUGCAAAGUCAGGCCUAAUUUCUUACACAGCUUCUGUGUAUUUAGUAUAAAUCUAAGCUCCAUAUCAAAAUUUUGUAGCGUAAUAGAUUGUUAAAUUUAAAUGAAAGACUCUGGUUUUUGAAGAAACAAAGACAAAAUUAUCUCUACCCUUAACUUUGCUUGUUUUAUAAAGUAGUGUACUUAGAUGCAGUAAAUGAACUGAUAAAUAAAAAUAACCCAGGAAAUAACUAGAAGAGAAGAGGAUUGAAGGCUUUGACACACAUUUGAAAUUGCCAACUUUCCAUCUGUAAACAAUAGUUCCAGGGAGGUCUGAGGUACCAAAUUUUUAUGAAUACUCAAUUUUGGUUGAAGUGAACAUGGACUUCCAAGUUGUACAGGGUUUUGCUGAAAAAUAAGCUGUCAUAUCUAAUUGUAGAUGAAAAUACAGGAAGAAUUUUUUUGAUGGGUUGACUCAGUAUUUUUAUUUCGUUUUGGAGUGCAGAAAUUUAACAUAAAAUUAUUUCUUAUCUAACAAAGUAAAGGAUGUAGAAUGAUGCAGGUGGCACAGUUUGGUAUUGUGGAAUUUUUUGAUUGAUUGUUCUGGAGUGUGACCCCAGCCACUAGAAAAAAUGAUUGAAAAAUAGUCUUUGCAGUAUGGUGAUUUUGCUUGGUUCUCAAAUUGAGACCAUCAAUCCAAGCAGGCAGGUACUCUUUUAGGAGAUAUUUCAAACCAGGAAAGUUAUUUCCUUGCUCCCAAUUCAUUUUACGACAUCCUGUUUUCUUUUUGAAAUUGUGAUGGCCUUGUUUUCCUCAAUAACUGAGAGCACUAGAGGAAAAUAGACAAAGUGACACGACAGUUUGGAAUCUAGUUUUACUGCGGAAUUUCAUGGUGAAUGUAAAUAGGUUUUGUACGUUAGUUUAUUGUUUGAAUUUUGCAGCAACUGAGUGGGCACAGUUGGUAGGGCCUCCUGGACGUCUGCAGAUGGAGUUUUGCACACCUUCGAAGUUGCAGGGACUGCCUCAGAAAUUGAUGAUAAAGCUGUGGAGGCCUUUGUCGAUGAGGAUGAUUUUAUCAUAUCCUUAGACUACAACGAAAAAAUGGGAGUUUGCAGCGUAGUCUUGGAGACAUCAAGCUGACAAAUAGUGUUGGAGGUUCAUGACCUGGUUUUCUACUUUGCCAAGUUGGAGGACAUAAUUUACUAGUUAUAUUGACUUUGCAUAUUUUGUGGAAGUUCACUGCUAGUUAUGUCGACAAGGAGAAUACAAUAUACUGUAUGUUUCUUUGUGAUAUAAGUUGAUUGUAAGAGUGGAAUUUCUCUGUAACAUGGUGUUCAGGAGGUUUUUCUUUUCUGGAGUAACUUAUUACUAUGAGAAAUUUUCAAUCAUGCAACUCUGAUAAUGUAUCUAGCAUAACUUAACCCUUUAACUCCCAAGAUCUGAUCAUCAAUUCUCCUUUCAAGCUGUUGCAAAUUUCCUUGUGAAUUAGUUCUAGGCUGUCAUUUUGACUUGCUGCCAAAUUUGUCUUCCUAAUUUACAAGAAAAUAGAUGUAAGUUUAAUAGAGAAUUUCAGUUCUCAUCUUUGUAGUUUAAGGGUUAGAUUUGAUGUACUCUCCUGAUAGGGAGCAAUAUUUGUGGCAUAGGACAUGCCCAUAUGACAAGAUUUGUAAUUUUUAUUUGUAGUAAAAUAUUUCCAGUACAUUUUCUGGAUAAGAUUGUAUAUUUGUACUGAGAUAUACUAUAUCAUGGGGAGAGAGUUGUUUUGUAAUUUAUUUCAUCGCAAAAAAUUAACAAAAGUUAAGUGUUACUCCAACAAAAAGAGUAUUAUUCUGGUCACAGUGUAAAAAUUUAUGUGUAAGCAAUAUUAUUCACUUUGGAUAGUUUAUGUUAUUUCCUUUUACAGAAAAAUCAAUUUUGUAUUUUAAUUCUUGUAGAGCAAUUUCAAGAGAGAAACAUGACUUCCAGACUUAGUUUUUGACUGGUUUUCUGUUUCAUUUCAUGUUUUUUAUUAUUUUAUAACAAGUUGUCAAAUUUCAUUCAUGAUUCAGUGCUGUGUAGACUUAGCUUCCAUGUUUGAAGCAUUUAAGAAAAUUUUUGUCAAAGACUUGGUUCUAAGGUAAUAUUUGCCAUUUUUCUGAAGGAAAGACCUCUGUUAAGUAACUAAGAUGCAGACCUCUUCAGAAAUCAAACUCCAAGUAGUGGCUGCACAUUAUUUCAUGGGUGAAGGUAGAAACUGAAAGUUUUCUUUCUCAGGAAUAACUUUGUCACAGUAAUAUCUGACCUUUCUUUAGGAAUUAAAACUUUCUUUUGUUGUUUACAAUCAAAAUUAAGCAACUUUAAAGAUGCAAGUAUUUCUUUGAUCAAAGCAUAAUAAACACAGAAAAAUAGAGCAAAAA